GUUUUGAGUCUUUUGGUUUGUUUUGGUGUUUUAAAGUUUAGUUUUGUAUUCUUUGAGUCUAUUUUAGUGUUUAAAACUUGUUUUUACGUUUUUGAGUCAUGUCCAAGUGAUUUUGCAAUCCCUCCUAAUCCCCGGUCUAGAACGAUCCCUACUUACAUACAUUGCUACAAUUGAUAAAAAGAGGGUUUAAUUUGAGUGCUUAUAUAUUUCACAUCAAAAACGAAUUUGGUUUAAAUGAAUGGAUGGAAGGCUAGCUAAGGGGUUCAUCUCCACACAUGUUAUACUUGCAUUCAAAACGAUUUCCAAUUGCUUUUCAAUAAACCACGAAUUCUCAAUGCCCCAAGUUAAUUAGGUCCGCUUAAAUUAACCUUCAGAUUUUCCUAACGUUAUUGAAUUGGAUGAUUGCAUACGACAACCCAAAACAUUCCCCACAAGUCCCCUACAUGAUUGCAUAAUAGAGAUACAAGCAAGUGAUAUGAUAUUAACUAGCACUCAAAUUAACCCUCUUUUUAUCAAUUGUAGUAAGUAUGUAAGUAGGGAUCGUUCUAGGCCGGGGAUUAGGAGGGAUUGCUAAAUCACUUGAAAACUGACUCAAAUACGUAAAAACAAGUUUAAAACACUAAACUAGACUCAAAGAAUGCAAAACUAAACUUGGAAAUACCAAAACAAACCAAAAGACUCAAAACUGCCUUAAAAACACAAUCUGGGCAGUUUUGAACACUAGACACAAACUUGGACGAAAUUAGGUUUUAACUUGACUCAAAACACUUAAAAACACAAACUAACUUGACUUCUAACUAAUAUGACUCAACAAAGAAAGGGGGAUUGAUUUUGGACGAAUUAAAAACAAAACAAAACUUUGUAAACUAGAACAGAUUUUAAAACGAAUUUGGCUUAAAUGAAUGGAUGGAAAGCUAGCUAAGGGGUUCAUCUCCACACAUGUUAUACUUGCAUUCAAAACGAUUCCAAUUGCUUUUCAAUA
rnacentral:lncRNA from 1 species